rnacentral:rRNA from 1 species
CUGCUGCCUUCCGUAGGAGUCUGGGCCGUGUCUCAGUCCCAAUGUGGCCGGCCAACCUCUCAGUCCGGCUACUGAUCGUCGCCUUGGUGGGCCGUUACCCCGCCAACUAGCUAAUCAGACGCGAGUCCAUCUCAGAGCGAUAAAUCUUUGAUGCCCAGUGCCAUGCGACACAGACAUAUUAUGCGGUAUUAGCAGCUGUUUCCAACUGUUAUUCCCCACUCCAAGGCAGGUUACU